rnacentral:rRNA from 1 species
CCUUUUGUAUAAUGGGUCAGCGACUUAUAUUCUGUAGCAAGGUUAACCGAAUAGGGGAGCCGUAGGGAAACCGAGUCUUAACUGGGCGAAUGAGUUGCAGGGUAUAGACCCGAAACCCGGUGAUCUAGCCAUGGGCAGGUUGAAGGUUGGGUAACACUAACUGGAGGACCGAACCGACUAAUGUUGAAAAAUUAGCGGAUGACUUGUGGCUGGGGGUGAAAGGCCAAUCAAACCGGGAGAUAGCUGGUUCUCCCCGAAAGCUAUUUAGGUAGCGCCUCGUGAAUUCAUCUUCGGGGGUAGAGCACUGUUUCGACUAGGGGGUCAUCCCGACUUACCAACUCGAUGCAAACUACGAAUACCGAAGAAUGUUAUCACGGGAGACACACGGCGGGUGCUAACGUUCGUCGUGAAGAGGGAAACAACCCAGACCGCCAGCUAAGGUCCCAAAGUCAUAGUUAAGUGGGAAACGAAGUGGAAAGGCUCAGACAGCCAGGAUGUUGGCUUAGAAGCAGCCAUCAUUUAAAGAAAGCGUAAUAGCUCACUGGUCGAGUCGGUCUGCGCGGAAGAUGUAACGGGGCUAAACUAUGCACCGAAGCUGCGGCAGCGAUAUUUAGAUAUUGUUGGGUAGGGGAGCGUUCUGUAAGCCUGCGAAGGUGUGCUGUGAGGCAUGCUGGAGGUAUCAGAAGUGCGAAUGCUGACAUAAGUAACGAUAAUGCGGGUGAAAAACCCGCACGCCGGAAGACCAAGGGUUCCUGUCCAACGUUAAUCGGGGCAGGGUGAGUCGACCCCUAAGGCGAGGCUGAAAAGCGUAGUCGAUGGGCAACGGGUUAAUAUUCCCGUACUGGUGAUAAUUGCGAUGGGGGGACGGAGAAGGCUAAGUUAGCUGGGCGACGGUUGUCCCGGUUUAAAGAUGUAGGUGGGUGAAUUAGGCAAAUCCGGUUCACCAUACACUGAGGUCUGAUGACGAGUCACUACGGUGAUGAAGUAACUGAUGCCAUGCUUCCAGGAAAAGCCUCUAAGCUCUAGAUUAUCAUUAAUCGUACCCCAAACCGACACAGGUGGUCAGGUAGAGAAUACUAAGGCGCUUGAGAGAACUCGGGUGAAGGAACUAGGCAAAAUGGUGCCGUAACUUCGGGAGAAGGCACGCUGGCGUUAGGUGAAGUGAUUUACUCACGGAGCUGAAGCCAGUCGCAGAUACCAGCUGGCUGCAACUGUUUAUUAAAAACACAGCACUGUGCAAACACGAAAGUGGACGUAUACGGUGUGACGCCUGCCCGGUGCUGGAAGGUUAAUUGAUGGGGUUAGCGCAAGCGAAGCUCUUGAUCGAAGCCCCAGUAAACGGCGGCCGUAACUAUAACGGUCCUAAGGUAGCGAAAUUCCUUGUCGGGUAAGUUCCGACCUGCACGAAUGGCGUAAUGAUGGCCAGGCUGUCUCCACCCGAGACUCAGUGAAAUUGAACUCGCUGUGAAGAUGCAGUGUACCCGCGGCAAGACGGAAAGACCCCGUGAACCUUUACUAUAGCUUGACACUGAACAUUGAGCCUUGAUGUGUAGGAUAGGUGGGAGGCUUUGAAGUGUGGACGCCAGUCUGCAUGGAGCCAACCUUGAAAUACCACCCUUUAAUGUUUGAUGUUCUAACGUAGACCCAUUAUCUGGGUUGCGGACAGUGUCUGGUGGGUAGUUUGACUGGGGCGGUCUCCUCCCAAAGAGUAACGGAGGAGCACGAAGGUUAGCUAAUCACGGUCGGACAUCGUGAGGUUAGUGCAAUGGCAUAAGCUAGCUUGACUGCGAGAGUGACGGCUCGAGCAGGUACGAAAGUAGGUCAUAGUGAUCCGGUGGUUCUGAAUGGAAGGGCCAUCGCUCAACGGAUAAAAGGUACUCCGGGGAUAACAGGCUGAUACCGCCCAAGAGUUCAUAUCGACGGCGGUGUUUGGCACCUCGAUGUCGGCUCAUCACAUCCUGGGGCUGAAGUAGGUCCCAAGGGUACGGCUGUUCGCCGUUUAAAGUGGUACGCGAGCUGGGUUUAGAACGUCGUGAGACAGUUCGGUCCCUAUCUGCCGUGGGCGUUGGAAGAUUGAAAGGGGCUGCUCCUAGUACGAGAGGACCGGAGUGGACGCACCACUGGUGUUCGGGUUGUCAUGCCAAUGGCAUUGCCCGGUAGCUAAGUGCGGAAGAGAUAACCGCUGAAAGCAUCUAAGCGGGAAACUUGCCUUGAGAUGAGUCUUCCCUGACUCCUUGAGAGUCCUGAAGGAACGUUUAAGACUAAGACGUUGAUAGGCUGGGUGUGUAAGCGGUGCGAGCCGUUGAGCUAACCAGUACUAAUGAACCGAGAGGCUUAACCUU